rnacentral:rRNA from 1 species
ACUCCUACGGGAGGCAGCAGUAGGGAAUCUUCCACAAUGGGUGCAAACCUGAUGGAGCAAUGCCGCGUGAGUGAAGAAGGUCUUCGGAUCGUAAAGCUCUGUUGUUAGAGAAGAACACGUGCUAGGUAACUACUAGCGCCUUGACGGUAUCUAACCAGAAAGUCACGGCUAACUACGUGCCAGCAGCCGCGGUAAUACGUAGGUGACAAGCGUUGUCCGGAUUUAUUGGGCGUAAAGGGAGCGCAGGCGGUCUGUUUAGUCUAAUGUGAAAGCCCACGGCUUAACCGUGGAACGGCAUUGGAAACUGACAGACUUGAAUGUAGAAGAGGAAAAUGGAAUUCCAAGUGUAGCGGUGGAAUGCGUAGAUAUUUGGAGGAACACCAGUGGCGAAGGCGAUUUUCUGGUCUAACAUUGACGCUGAGGCUCGAAAGCGUGGGGAGCGAACAGGAGUAGAAACCCGUGUAGUCCCAU